rnacentral:rRNA from 1 species
UACGUAGGGUGCAAGCGUUAAUCGGAAUUACUGGGCGUAAAGCGUGCGCAGGCGGUUUCGUAAGUCUGUCGUGAAAUCCCCGGGCUUAACCUGGGAAUGGCGAUGGAGACUGCGAGGCUAGAGUUUGGCAGAGGGGGGUAGAAUUCCACGUGUAGCAGUGAAAUGCGUAGAGAUGUGGAGGAACACCGAUGGCGAAGGCAGCCCCCUGGGUCAACACUGACGCUCAUGCACGAAAGCGUGGGGAGCAAACAGG